rnacentral:tRNA from 1 species
GCGCCUGUGGCGGAAUUGGCAGACGCGCCAGACUUAGGAUCUGGUGUCCCCGACGUGAAGGUUCAAGUCCUUUCAGGCGCACCA